rnacentral:rRNA from 1 species
AAGGUAGCGAAAUUCCUUGUCGGGUAAGUUCCGACCUGCACGAAUGGCGUAACGAUCUCCACACUGUCUCGGCCAGAGACUCGGUGAAAUUGAAGUCGCGGUGAAAAUGCCGUGUACCCGCAGAAAGACGGAAAGACCCUGUGCACCUUUACUAUAGCUUGACAUUGGGAUUUGAGCCUGCAUGUGUAGCAUAGGUGGGAGGCUGUGAACUCUGUACGCCAGUAUGGAGGGAGCCAACGUUGAAAUACCACCCUUGUUUGUUCAGGUCCCUAACUCUUCGCCGUUACCCGGUAAGAGGACAGUGUCUGGUGGGUAGUUUGACUGGGGCGGUCGCCUCCCAAAAUGUAACGGAGGCAUGCAAAGGUUCCCUCAGGCUGAUUGGAAACCAGCCGUCGAGUGCAAACGCAAAAGGGAGCUUGACUGCAAGAGAGACAUCUCGAGCAGGUACGAAAGUAGGUGUUAGUGAUCCGGUGAUCCCGAAUGGAAGGGUCAUCGCUCAUUGGAUAAAAGGUACGCCGGGGAUAACAGGCUGAUCGCAUCCAAGAGUUCACAUCGACGAUGCGGUUUGGCACCUCGAUGUCGGCUCAUCACAUCCUGGGGCUGAAGCAGGUCCCAAGGGUACGGCUGUUCGCCGUUUAAAGUGGUACGCGAGCUGGGUUUAAAACGUCGUGAGACAGUUUGGUCCCUAUCUUCUGUGGGCGUAGGAGAAUUGAAAGGGCCUGUCCCUAGUACGAGAGGACCGGGAUGGACACACCACUGGUGGACCUGUUGUCGUGCCAACGGCACAGCAGGGUAGCUAUGUGUGGAAGGGAUAACCGCUGAAAGCAUCUAAGCGGGAAGCCUGCCUUAAGAUAAGUUCUCCCUGACGCAAGUCCUGAAGGGCCGAGGUAGACGACCUCGUUGAUAGGCUGGAGGUGGAAGCCCUGUGAGGGGUGGAGCUGACCAGUACUAAUAGCCCGUGCGUCUUGUUUUC